rnacentral:rRNA from 1 species
GACGAGUCUCACGAACGUUAUUCGGAAUUACUGGGCUUAAAGGGUGCGUAGGCGGUGGAGUAAGUCGGAUGUGAAAUACCUUAGCUUAACUAGGGAACUGCACUCGAUACUACUUUGCUAGAGUAAGACAGAGGUGAGUGGAACUGAGGGUGGAGCGGUGAAAUGCGUAGAUAUCGUUUGGAACGCCAAUGGUGAAAACAGGUUGCUGGGAGUGCGCUGACGCUGAGACACGAAAGCCAGGGGAGCGAACGGG